GCUAAUACCGCAUACGCCCUACGGGGGAAAGCAGGGGACCUUCGGGCCUUGCGCGAUUGGAUGAACCCAGGUGGGAUUAGCUAGUUGGUGAGGUAACGGCUCACCAAGGCGACGAUCCCUAGCUGGUCUGAGAGGAUGAUCAGCCACACUGGAACUGAGACACGGUCCAGACUCCUACGGGAGGCAGCAGUGGGGAAUAUUGCACAAUGGGGGGAACCCUGAUGCAGCCAUGCCGCGUGUGUGAAGAAGGCCUUCGGGUUGUAAAGCACUUUCAGCGAGGAUCAGUAGCUAAUCUGCUGGCUGCGUUACUCAGAAGAAGCACCGGCUAACUACGUGCCAGCAGCCGCGGUAAUACGUAGGGUGCGAGCGUUAAUCGGAAUUACUGGGCGUAAAGCGUGCGCAGGCGGUUAUGUAAAACAGAGGUGAAAUCCCCGGGCUCAACCUGGGAACGGCCUUUGUGACUGCAUGGCUAGAGUGCGGCAGAGGGGGAUGGAAUUCCGCGUGUAGCAGUGAAAUG
rnacentral:rRNA from 1 species